rnacentral:rRNA from 2 species
GGGGGAUAUUGCACAAUGGGGGAAACCCUGAUGCAGCGACGCCGCGUGGAGGAAGAAGGUUUUCGGAUUGUAAACUCCUGUCGUUAGGGACGAUAAUGACGGUACCUAACAAGAAAGCACCGGCUAACUACGUGCCAGCAGCCGCGGUAAAACGUAGGGUGCAAGCGUUGUCCGGAAUUACUGGGUGUAAAGGGAGCGCAGGCGGACCGGCCAGUUGGAAGUGAAAACUAUGGGCUCAACCCAUAAAUUGCUUUCAAAACUGCUGGCCUUGAGUAGUGCAGAGGUAGGUGGAAUUCCCGGUGUAGCGGUGGAAUGCGUAUAUAUCGGGAGGAACACCAGUGGCGAAGGCGACCUACUGGGCACCAACUGACGCUGAGGCUCGAAAGCAUGGGUAGCAAACAGGAUUAGAUACCCUGGUAGUCCAUGCCGUAAACGAUGAUUACUAGGUGUUGGAGGAUUGACCCCUUCAGUGCCGCAGUUAACACAAUAAGUAAUCCACCUGGGGAGUACGACCGCAAGGUUGAAACUCAAAGGAAUUGACGGGGGCCCGCACAAGCAGUGGAGUAUGUGGUUUAAUUCGAAGCAACGCGAAGAACCUUACCAGGUCUUGACAUCCGAUGCAUAGCUUAGAGAUAAGUGAAGUCCUUCGGGACAUCGAGACAGGUGGUGCAUGGUUGUCGUCAGCUCGUGUCGUGAGAUGUUGGGUUAAGUCCCGCAACGAGCGCAACCCUUAUUGCCAGUUACUACGCAAGAGGACUCUGGCGAGACUGCCGUUGACAAAACGGAGGAAGGUGGGGAUGACGUCAAAUCAUCAUGCCCUUUAUGACCUGGGCUACACACGUACUACAAUGGCGUUUAACAAAGAGAAGCAAGACCGCGAGGUGGAGCAAAACUCAAAAACAACGUCUCAGUUCAGAUUGCAGGCUGCAACUCGCCUGCAUGAAGUCGGAAUUGCUAGUAAUCGCGGAUCAGCAUGCCGCGGUGAAUACGUUCCCG